rnacentral:rRNA from 1 species
AUUGAACGCUGGCGGCAGGCCUAACACAUGCAAGUCGAACGAGUGGCGGACGGGUGAGUAAUGUCUGGGAAACUGCCUGAUGGAGGGGGAUAACUACUGGAAACGGUAGCUACUACCGCAUACCAUCGGAUGUGCCCAGAUGGGAUUAGCUAGUAGGUGGGGUAAAGGCCCACCUAGGCUACGAUCCCUAGCUGGUCUGAGAGGAUGACCAGCCCAACUGGAACUGAGACACUGUCCAGAGUCCUACGGGAGGCAGCAUUGGGGACUAUUGCACACUGGGCGCAAGCCUGUUGCAGCCCAGCCGCGUGUAUGAUGAAGGCCUUCGGGUUGUAGAGUACUUUCAGCUGGGAGGCGUUACCCGCAGAAGAAGCACCGGCUAACUCCGUGCCAGCAGCCGCGGUAAUUC